rnacentral:rRNA from 1 species
CCAAUAGCGUAUAUUAAAGUUGUUGCAGUUAAAAAGCUCGUAGUUGAAUUUCGGGAUCAAUAUUUCGGUCAUGCCGUUGGUAUGCACUGUUAUCAUUGAUUUCUCACCUUCUAAAGAACCGUAAUGCCAUUAAUUUGGUGUUACGGGGAAUUAGGACUGUUACCUUGAAAAAAUUAGAGUGUUUAAAGCAGGCUCACGCUUGAAUACAUUAGCAUGGAAUAAUGAAAUAGGACAUCCGAUUCUAUUUUGUUGGUUUCUAGGAUCGAUGUAAUGAUUAAUAGGGAUAGUUGGGGGCAUUAGUAUUCAAUUGUCAGAGGUGAAAUUCUUGGAUUUAUUGAAGACUAACUACUGCGAAAGCAUUUGCCAAGGAUGUUUUCAUUAAUCAAGAACGAAAGUUAGGGGAUCGAAGACGAUCAGAUACCGUCGUAGUCUUAACCAUAAACUAUGCCGACUAGGGAUCGGAUGAUGUUAAUUUUAAUGACUCAUUCGGCGCCUUACGGGAAA